UUAGUUCAGUCGGUAGAACGGCGGACUGUUAAUCCGUAUGUCGCUGGUUCAAGUCCAGCA
rnacentral:tRNA from 2 species